rnacentral:rRNA from 1 species
GACGUAGGGCGCGAGCGUUAAUCGGAAUUACUGGGCGUAAAGCGUGCGCAGGCGGUUUUGUAAGCCAGAUGUGAAAGCCCCGGGCUCAACCUGGGAAUGGCAUUUGGGACUGCAAGGCUGGAGUUUGGCAGAGGAGACUGGAAUUCCUGGUGUAGCAGUGAAAUGCGUAGAUAUCAGGAGGAAUACCGAUGGCGAAGGCAGGUCUCUGGGCUAUAACUGACGCUCAUGCACGAAAGCGUGGGGAGCAAACAGG